AGGUAAAGUUCAGAGUGGGUUAGCGAGGGAGGGAGGAAUCUUUUUCAUUAUUCAUUCUUCUCGAUUCUUGAAUUCUGAUCCUUUUGAAAUGGGUUUUUUUUUUUUUUUUAAAUGGGUUUCCGUUUUUAUUACUACUCUCUAUGUAUUUUUUUUUAUUUUUUUUUUUAUUUUUCAGUUAGUUACUGGGAAACUAGGAAAGGUACUGUACGAUCGGGUUGAAAUAAUUCCCUUUUCACAGAUGGAAUGAAUAUAUACUACUGAGUCAAUAAAUAUCUUGAUGCAAAGCCAACAUCGCCAAUAGAUAUUGUGUCUCUCCCUCAUCCAGUGCGCGCGGGGGUUUUUGUGCAGUAUUUUUUUUUUUUUUUUUUUUUUUUUUGCUCCGGCCCUCUUUCUAUCAUUAGGUCUGACAAGGGGAUUUUAGGUAGGUAGCUAGGUAUCAUGAUUCAAAGU
rnacentral:sRNA from 1 species